rnacentral:rRNA from 1 species
UGGGGAAUAUUGCACAAUGGGCGCAAGCCUGAUGCAGCCAUGCCGCGUGUGUGAAGAAGGCCUUCGGGUUGUAAAGCACUUUCAGCGAGGAGGAAGGUGGUGAGCUUAAUACGCUCAUCAAUUGACGUUACUCGCAGAAGAAGCACCGGCUAACUCCGUGCCAGCAGCCGCGGUAAUACGGAGGGUGCAAGCGUUAAUCGGAAUUACUGGGCGUAAAGCGCACGCAGGCGGUUUGUUAAGUCAGAUGUGAAAUCCCCGGGCUCAACCUGGGAACUGCAUUUGAAACUGGCAAGCUAGAGUCUCGUAGAGGGGGGUAGAAUUCCAGGUGUAGCGGUGAAAUGCGUAGAGAUCUGGAGGAAUACCGGUGGCGAAGGCGGCCCCCUGGACGAAGACUGACGCUCAGGUGCGAAAGCGUGGGGCAGCAAACAGGAUUAGAUACCCUGGUAGUCCAGCGCUGUAAAACGAUGUCGAUUUUGGAGGUUGUGCCCUUGAGGCGUGGCUUCCGGAGCUAACGCGUUAAAUCGACCGCCUGGGGAGUACGGCCGCAAGGUUAAAACUUAAAGGAAUUGACGGGGUCUAGCUG